rnacentral:rRNA from 1 species
AAAUUUGAGAGCGGCGUACGGGUGCGGAACACGUGUGCAACCUGCCUUUAUCUGGAGGAUAGCCUUUCGAAAGGAAGAUUAAUACUCCAUAAUAUACAAGAUGGCAUCAUUUAGUAUUGAAAGCUCCGGCGGAUAAAGAUGGGCACGCGCAAGAUUAGAUAGUUGGUGAGGUAACGGCUCACCAAGUCUGCGAUCUUUAGGGGGCCUGAGAGGGUGAUCCCCCACACUGGUACUGAGACACGGACCAGACUCCUACGGGAGGCAGCAGUGAGGAAUAUUGGACAAUGGGUGCAAGCCUGAUCCAGCCAUCCCGCGUGAAGGAUUAAGGACCUAUGGUUUGUAAACUUCUUUUGUACAGGGAUAAACCAUUCUACGUGUAGAAUGCUGAAGGUACUGUACGAAUAAGCACCGGCUAACUCCGUGCCAGCAGCCGCGGUAAUACGGAGGGUGCAAGCGUUAUCCGGAUUUAUUGGGUUUAAAGGGUCCGUAGGCGGAUCUAUAAGUCAGUGGUGAAAGCCGACAGCUUAACUGUCGAACUGCCGUUGAUACUGUAGGUCUUGAGUAAAUUUGAAGUGGCUGGAAUAAGUAGUGUAGCGGUGAAAUGCAUAGAUAUUACUUAGAACACCAAUUGCGAAGGCAGGUCACUAAGAUUUAACUGACGCUGAUGGACGAAAGCGUGGGGAGCGAACAGGAUUAGAUACCCUGGUAGUCCACGCCGUAAACGAUGCUAACUCGUUUUUGGAUUUUCGGAUUCAGAGACCAAGCGAAAGUGAUAAGUUAGCCACCUGGGGAGUAC